GAAUAAUUGACCUUGUCAAAAAAUAUGUUUUAGAGAAAAAGUAAUUAAUUUUUAGUGAUAGUGAAAUGUUUAAAUUAGUGAAUUUGUAGAAAACUGAAUAUAGUUGUCAAUGUCACAGAAGAAUGUACCACUAAAAGAAGUAGUUCCCAACCUCACAGUUAGGACACAGACAAUUACCAUUUAAUUGUAACAAUUACCAGAGAAGAUGUAUAUCAUAGUGAAGAGUGUUCACUGUAGGCCUGUUAUGGUAAUUGUGAAGUCAUAAGGCACGCGGUGAAUGCCAAGAGCAGACGAUAUCCAGCAGAGAUUUCAAAACAUACAGGGUCUUAAUAAUUUAUAUAGACAUCUAUAUGUCUUUGCAAAAAUAUGUUAAGGACAGUAAAUAAAUUGGCAUAGAAUACACAAGUUUCUGUAAAAUAUUUAACAAAUUCAUUUUGUGCUAUUGGAAAAUAUAUGUUGAUGAAUUUCAAUGUCAUAAAUGAGAGAUAACAUUUAACUAAAACAUUUGUAUUCUAUAGAUUUCAGAUAAUCUUUAUUCAAAAAAUUGAAGCAUAUUUAAAAAGUAACCUUAAUAUCUUAGUAUAUUAAUUACAAUAUGAUAAAAACCACAGUUCACACUAAGAUUUUUGCUACAUUUAGUUGUUCAAACGUAUUUCUAUCUCAUGUGUGAGCUAAAAUAUACACUUUUUGGUGGCAUAUACAGUUAUAAAAAGUGAGUCUUAAAUGAAAGUGCAAAUAUUUUCAGGGUUGGUAGAUCUCGAUAAAAGAAACAUAUUUUCUCUCUACCGUUUGUCAAAUAAAUCUAAAAUAACGGAGAUAUUUUACUUUGACAAUUUCCAAAAAAAAUGAUUUUUUUGCUAAAAUUUUGAGAACCACUGGAUCUUUUCUGGAUUUUAUGGUUUUCUUUAUGGUAAAUUCAAUCUACUAUAUUUAACUUAACAAAUAUUGAGUAAAACUAAUAAAAUUUCCAAAAAUUUUUUUCAAAAAAUUUCAAAUUCUUAAAAUUGUUUUUUUCGCGAAAAAAACUUCAUAAUCCUGUUUCUGGGGUCGAAAUAUACUACCCCCAAAAAUAUUUGCACUUAUUUAAGACUCACCCUGUUUAAAAAAUUGUAGGUACUAUAGAUAUAAAAAUCGCGUAAAUUUUGAAUUUAGGACUACUUUUAGAAUUCAUAUUAAACCCAAGAAAUAAUUUAACAAAUGUGUUUAUUCUAUUUCAA